GUUUAAUUCGAUGCAACGCGAAGAACCUUACCUGGUCUUGACAUCCACAGAACUUUCCAGAGAUGGAUUGGUGCCUUCGGGAACUGUGAGACAGGUGCUGCAUGGCUGUCGUCAGCUCGUGUUGUGAAAUGUUGGGUUAAGUCCCGCAACGAGCGCAACCCUUAUCCUUUGUUGCCAGCGAUUAGGUCGGGAACUCAAAGGAGACUGCCAGUGAUAAACUGGAGGAAGGUGGGGAUGACGUCAAGUCAUCAUGGCCCUUACGACCAGGGCUACACACGUGCUACAAUGGCGCAUACAAAGAGAAGCGACCUCGCGAGAGCAAGCGGACCUCAUAAAGUGCGUCGUAGUCCGGAUUGGAGUCUGCAACUCGACUCCAUGAAGUCGGAAUCGCUAGUAAUCGUGGAUCAGAAUGCCACGGUGAAUACGUUCCCGGGCCUUGUACACACCGCCCGUCACACCAUGGGAGUGGGUUGCAAAAGAAGUAGGUAGCUUAACCUUCGGGAGGGCGCUUACCACUUUGUGAUUCAUGACUGGGGUGAAGUCGUAACAAGGUAACCGUAGGGGAACCUGCGGUUGGA
rnacentral:rRNA from 1 species